rnacentral:rRNA from 1 species
UAGGGAAUCUUCCGCAAUGGACGAAAGUCUGACGGAGCAACGCCGCGUGAGUGAAGAAGGAUUUCGGUUCGUAAAACUCUGUUGUUAGGGAAGAAAAAAUGUAUAGUAACUAUAUACAAAAGAGACGGUACCUAACCAGAAAGCCACGGCUAACUACGUGCCAGCAGCCGCGGUAAUACGUAGGUGGCAAGCGUUGUCCGGAAUUAUUGGGCGUAAAGAGUGCGUAGGCGGCAAAUUAAGUCAGAUGUGAAAACUAAGGGCUCAACCCAUAGAUUGCAUCUGAAACUGAUAUGCUUGAGUCAAGGAGAGGAAAGUGGAAUUCCUAGUGUAGCGGUGGAAUGCGUAGAUAUUAGGAGGAAUACCGGUGGCGAAGGCGACUUUCUGGACUUGAACUGACGCUGAGGCACGAAAGCGUGGGGAGCAAACAGG